AAAUUGAAGAGUUUGAUCAUGGCUCAGAUUGAACGCUGGCGGCAGGCCUAACACAUGCAAGUCGAGCGGAAACGAGUUAUCUGAACCUUCGGGGAACGAUAACGGCGUCGAGCGGCGGACGGGUGAGUAAURCCUAGGAAAUUGCCCUGAUGUGGGGGAUAACCAUUGGAAACGAUGGCUAAUACCGCAUGAUGCCUACGGGCCAAAGAGGGGGACCUUCGGGCCUCUCGCGUCAGGAUAUGCCUAGGUGGGAUUAGCUAGUUGGUGAGGUAAGGGCUCACCAAGGCGACGAUCCCUAGCUGGUCUGAGAGGAUGAUCAGCCACACUGGAACU
rnacentral:rRNA from 1 species